rnacentral:tRNA from 1 species
GGUUCCGUGGUGUAGUGGUUAUCACGUUUGCUUUACACGCAGAAGGUACCCGGUUCGAUCCCAGGCGGAACCA